UACAGAGGGUGCCAACGUUGUUCGGAAUCACUGGGCAUAAAGCGCACGUAGGCGGCCCGUCAAGUGCGGUGUGAAAUCCCACGGCUUACCCGUGGAAAUGCGCGGCAGACUGACGGGCUCGAGGACGGUAGGGGAGAGCGGAACUCCUGGUGGAGCGGUGAAAUGCGUAGAUAUCAGGAGGAACACCGGUGGCGAAGGCGGCUCUCUGGUCCGUUUCUGACGCUGAGGUGCGAAAGCCAGUGGAGCAAACGGG
rnacentral:rRNA from 1 species